AUACGUAUGUCGCAAGCGUUAUCCGGAAUUAUUGGGCGUAAAGCGAGUCUAGGCGGCUUGUUAAGUCAGAUGUGAAAAUGCGGGGCUCAACUCCGUAUUGCGUUUGAAACUGGCAGGCUAGAGUACUGGAGAGGUGGGCGGAACUACAAGUGUAGAGGUGAAAUUCGUAGAUAUUUGUAGGAAUGCCGAUAGUGAAGACAGCUCACUGGACAGAUACUGACGCUAAAGCUCGAAAGCGUGGGGAGCGAACAGGAUUAGAUACCCCAGUAGUCC
rnacentral:rRNA from 1 species